CCUACGGGAGGCAGCAGUGGGGAAUAUUGCACAAUGGGGGAAACCCUGAUGCAGCGACGCCGCGUGAGUGAAGAAGUAUUUCGGUACGUAAAGCUCUAUCAGCAGGGAAGAAAAAAAGACGUUUGGACUUUGGACGGUACCGGAGAACGAAGCCCCGGCUAACUACGUGCCAGCAGCCGGGGUAAUACGUAGGGGGCAAGCGUUGUCCGGAUUUACUGGGUGUAAAGGGAGAGUAGACGGCAGUGCAAGUCUGGAGUGAAAGGCGGGGGCUCAACCCGCGAACUGCUCUGGAAACUGUACGGCUGGAGUGCAGGAGAGGUAAGUGGAAUUCCUAGUGUAGCGGUGAAAUGCGUAGAUAUUAGGAGGAACACCAGUGGCGAAGGCGGCUUACUGGACUGUAACUGACGUUGAGGCUCGAAAGCGUGGGGAGCAAACAGGAUUAGAUACCCGGGUAGUC
rnacentral:rRNA from 1 species